rnacentral:rRNA from 1 species
AACCUGGUUGAUCCUGCCAGUAGUCAUAUGCGUUGUGCUCAAAGAUUAAGCCAUGCAUGUCUCAGUAUAAGCUUCUAUAUGGCGAAACUGCGAAUGGCUCAUUAAAACAGUUAUAGUUUAUUUGGUGGUCAACUUCUACAUGGAUAACCGUGGUAAUUCUAGAGCUAAUACAUGCGCCCAAACCCAACUUCUUGGAAGGGUUGUGUUUAUUAGAUACAGAACCAACCCAGGCUCCGCCUGGCCUUGAGGUGAUUCAUAAUAACCGAACGAAUCGCAUGGCUCCGCCGGCGAUAGACCAUUCAAGUUUCUGACCUAUCAGCUAUCGUCGGUAGGGUAUUGGCCUACCGUGGCAAUGACGGGUAACGGAGAAUUAGGGUUCGAUUCCGGAGAGGGAGCCUGAGAAACGGCUACCACAUCUAAGGAAGGCAGCAGGCGCGCAAAUUACCCAAUCCUGACGCAGGGAGGUAGUGACAAGAAAUAACAGUACAGGGCAUAUCUGUCUUGUAAUUGGAAUGAGUAAACUUUAAAUCACUUUGCGAGUAUCAAUUGGAGGGCAAGUCUGGUGCCAGCAGCCGCGGUAAUUCCAGCCCCAAUAGC